rnacentral:sRNA from 1 species
ACUUAGCCCUGAUGGGAGCGGUAUCCUUUUUAUGGCUUCUUUAGACAGAAAAAGAUAUAGCGGACAGCAGGACAAAAU